UCUCAAUGGAGGCAGAGACUCAGGACGACGUGGGAAUUCAAAUGUAUACAUCAACACUCAUCCGUCUUCCAAUUCCCAGUUCACACGAAAAUAGGAAACAAAUAAAGAAAGAAGAGCAGCGCAGAAUCAAACCAAAAAGGAGGAGAAAAUUCUUAUCAAAUCGGCUUAGGUCAGACUUGAUAAUUAUCAUUGGCUGCGGUAGUUAGAGGUUGUGGAAAGUGUGGACUAUAGUAUUUGGCUGAGCCUAUUGAUGCAUGCUCGACAUUGACUAAUGAAGCCAGACAUGGCAAGAAUUAUAGCUCCCCUUUUGUGUUGAAUAUAAGAGGAGGGUGCAGUUUUGACUUUUGAGGAUAAAGUUAGAAGAGCUCAAAAGCUUGGGUUCAAAGCUGCAAUUUUUUACGACAAAGAAGAGAGCGGCGCCUUUGUUUCAAAAAGAGAACUCAUAGAGGUAGAACUGAAAGCAAAUCGAUAAGGACCUGUUGAUCCAUAUUCAAGCAUGUAUAUAUGAAUGGUAGAUUGGACACUAGAUAUAAAAUUAUGAUAAACAAGCAAAACUGAAAGCAAAUCGAUAAGGACCUGUUGGUCUAU